rnacentral:sRNA from 1 species
UGCGGAAGGAUCAUUGAACACACGAUCUUGGAAAACUUUCGUGAACCGUUAUUCGUACCCGGAGGGAUCGUGUCCGGAGGCACGAUUGUCGGUGUCGGAGUCCGGAUUCAUGUGCAUCCGCCGUGAUCCUCCCCGUUGGUGCGCGGCGGGAUUCAGAGUGACUCCAGUGCCAUCGGCGGAUCGCCCCCCCUUGCACGCACGGUUUCGGGUCUCCACCGCGGGAUCCGGAUUCGGGGUGGUCCCCUCCUCCGCGGGAGGGGGAGUCCCGUCUCGGAAUCUCCAGGCUGCCCCUGUCCCCCCCGGGGGACAGGGCCGCGCUGCUAGUUCCGGGCCGGACCGGCUCUCCCUCCCACGGGGCCCUUUUUUCCCUUCUCCCCAAAGAGAAACCCCGGUGAAACAAGAUUCGGAUGGAUUUGCCCGAGGAGGGCUGGGAAUCGUCUCGGCGGUUUCAUGCCCUCCCAGGGAAAAAGUUGUACAAACACAAAAUGACUCUCAGCAACGGAUAUCUUGGCUCUUGCAACGAUGAAGAACGCAGCGAAAUGCGAUACCUAGUGUGAAUUGCAGAAUUCCGCGAAUCAUCGAGUUUUUGAACGCAAGUUGCGCCCGAGGCUCGUCUGAGGGCAUGCCUGCCUGAGCGUCCGCUCCGACCCACCCACCAGCCUUCCGCUCCUUCCGAGGAGAGGGAGGCAAAACGUGCGAGUGGAACUGGUCGUCCGGAGACCCGGCCGUCUCCGACCCGCGAGACGGCUUGAGGAUUUGCGGUUGGCCGAAAAAUGCGAGCCGUCCGUCAAGCGCGCGCUGGGGAUAUCGGUGCGUCGCGAGAAGGUGGCGUUUGCCUCCCGAUCGGUUCUUGUGGAUCGUUCGAGAGGCGUACGUUGGUAACAAGGCUUCGCGCCGCCCUGGCGGAGUCGAGGCUUGACGGACCGGUGUGAUUUUUGAAACAUGGGAGCGGGAAGGACUCGGGAGACGAUCGCUUCGUCCGCGGAGACGCGGAGGAGGGACGGAUCUCGGGUCCGGACGCUGCGUUGUUUGGACCUCAGAUCAGGCAAGACCACCCGC